GACCAAGUGGGAGAGUCCCUGGCAAGAGAUACUUCUCCCUUCCCCUCGCCCCUUGCCUCCCGGAGAUCCCCCACUGAGGACAGCCUGGAGGGCGGGCACAGGCACCAGUCAGCACCUUUGCUGGUGCAGAGCCAGGCUGGGGUCCCUGGGGCCUCGGUUUCCUCGGCUCUCCAACGGGGCUGGUCCCUUCCUCUCUUGCUUUCCCUCCGAUCCAGCCUCAGGGCAGAGGGGAAGGCCAAGGAACACACUUUGGCAGGUUGUUCAGAUUUCCCAGAGGUACACCCUUCAGGUUCCAUCCUGGAGGACAAUGGCCAGUGUUCUGGGAAUUUCAGCGGGUAAGAGGACCCAGGUCUCAGCAUCCACUGUGUGAACAUUUUCAGUGAGAUGAGGAUCCGAGAGGCUGAGUAACUUGCCUGAGGAAAAACAGUCAAAGAGUGGAAGUAUCACUUGGCUGCAUCUGGAUCCAGAGUCCCUGCGCUUUCCACUGCCCUACUUAGAUGGCCCUGGGUCUCCUAUAAUAUCAGCACAGCCUGGUGCCCCCAAGGCUUUGAAAAAGUCCCACAGAUUGGAACCCAGCUCAGCUCCCAGGCACCCCCCAGGUCGGGAGGGAGAAUGCAGCUUUAGAACCUUAGCUGUCACCUCUGCCACCACCUUCUUCCCGGCAGAGGGACUCCCUCCAAGACUGGGUAAGGGUGUGAAAAAGGGGCAGCAGUGGGCAGGAUGGGGGUCAGACGCCGAGAGGGUAGCAAAGAUUGGAGCAUCAGGAAGUGAACAUGCCUGGGACUGUUGGGGAGCAGCGAUCCAGGGAGAGAGCUUGGUGUUUGGGGAUUCGACUGAGGCCUGUGAAGGAGAAGCAGAUGGGGCCUGGGGCUCCCCCAGAGUGUGGCCCUUCCCUGUCCCUUCUGCUCCCUCUCCAUCUUUAAAAAAUUUUAUUU
ensembl:lncRNA